UCAUGAGCUCGGCUUGGUGAGGUGGC
rnacentral:piRNA from 1 species